rnacentral:misc_RNA from 1 species
UCCGGCUUAUCACCGGCGGUUUCUUUAGAGUGCCCAACUAAAUGAUGGCAACUAAAGACGAGGGUUGCGCUCGUUGCGGGACUUAACCCAACAUCUCACGACACGAGCUGACGACAGCCAUGCAGCACCUGUGUUCUAGCCAGCCGAACUGAAGGAAUCCAUCUCUGGAAACCAUACUAGACACGUCAAACCCAGGUAAGGUUCUUCGGGUCGCAUCGAAUUAAGCCGCAUGCUCCGCCGCUUGUGCGGGGACCCGUCAAUUCCUUUGAGUUUUAGCCUUGCGGCCGUACUCCCCAGGCGGGGCACUUAACACAUUAGCUUCGGCAGAGAGGCAUUGACAUCCCCACUACCAAGUGCCCAUCGUUUACGGCGUGGACUAC